rnacentral:tRNA from 1 species
CUUAAAUAAUUUAAAAAAAAUAUUGAUUUGUGGUAUCAAAAAUAUGAACCUUUCCUUUUAAGUU